UGUGCCAACCGACCAAGGAGGCGAGUCCGCCCAAAGGAGUGAUUGGUAACUGGGGUG
rnacentral:rRNA from 1 species